rnacentral:lncRNA from 1 species
CUGCUGAAACAAAAACACUCAACAGGAUUUAACGAAGAAUUAAUAACCAUCAUGAUUGUUCCUGAUUCUGACAAAGACGGUGGUGGAAGAGAAGGGAGAAGGAAAAGCAGGCAACAGAGGGGUGGAAAGCGGGGGAGAACUGUGUCAAGAACAUCUAAUAAUCCUUGGAAAUUAACUAGAUACAUUGCUAAAACUACCUCAGAUGAAAAUUACGCUCCAGAGAUAAAUUAACACUUUCUCUUUCAUAAGCCAAAUUAGGUGUUUUCACAGUCUGCUCUGAUGUGCUUUCCAUGUCAUCUAAAAUCACACAACCCUGUGAGGAAAGGGACCCUGAUUCCUAUUUGCUACAUUUCUUCUUAUGACUAUUACUGACAAAUUUCAAUUGUACACUUUUGCCAGUUUUACUAAUUGUUCACAUACAUGAUCACACAUAGGGUAAUCACUGACUUCAUUUUCUAGUUGAAUUAAAGAAUGCAGUAUCAUUCUUUAAUCUUUCAUCAAAAUAUUAGGGUCAUAUAACACUGUAUAUUUUGUGGGAAGGGCGACUUCACUUUUCACGGUUUUUUAAAAAAACAAUAAAAAUGAUCUUGGCAAUGAAUUGCUAUUUUUUCUCUUACAUACUAACCUGUAUUAACUGACUUAGAAGAUACCUUUUAAUUUAAAAAAAAUAUUGAGUAUAAAAGAGCCGGGCUCUCUAUUCAGAUACAUUCAUAGGUGUGUCACACAUUUUGACAAUGGACCUUAAUAGUCCUAAUGAAGGCACUGAUCCUACCUAACACAAUCAAGUAUGAGGUAUAUGUUUUAAUAGAACAGUAAUUUAGAAUGCCGUUUAGUUCUUCCCUAAUUAGAUGGCAAAGUGUUCCCCUGACAGACUCACUCAUUCAUUGAGCACUAUGCCAGAUGCUAGAAGUACAAAAAAAAAUAAGACACUGCUACUCUCAGAUAGUUAGCAGUCUUUGGGAGGAAAGAAAAUUUGUUAAUCAAACACAUGCAACAGUAUAAGCCAUGCUUUUAAUAGAGUUUAGGUACUGUAGGCAGAGGUGAAAGGAGUGAGGGGCAAACUGGUUGGCCAGAGAAGGCUUCCAGAGGAGCUUAUUGAGUCAAAGAGGUAUGUAGGCCAAGGUCGGUGGCUUACACAUGUAAUCCUA